GCGGUGGUAGUUCAACGGUAGAAUGUUUCCUUGCCAAGGAAAAGGUUGCCGGUUCAAAUCCGGUCCACCGCUCCC
rnacentral:tRNA from 2 species